UCGGGGCAGAGGAGAUAUAAGGGCGGGGGCAGGGGGUCAGGGUCCGAUGGCGAGUUGAAGAUGCUACGCUGCCGACUUUGCAGGUGGAGGAAGGGGUCACAAGCCGAGGAAGGCAGGCGGCCCGGAGAAGUUGGAAAAGGCUAGGGAAGGGGUUCUCCCCUGGAGCCUCCAGACGGACCCGGUGCUGCUGCAGCCCCACUUGAGGCUGACUGUGGACCUCUGACCUCCGAGCCGGAUGCCUGGGUGGCUCAGUACGUUGAGCAUCUGACUUCGGCUCACGUCAUGAUCUCCCGGCUGUGAGUUCGAGCCCGCAUCUGGCUCUGCACUGACUUGCUCCGAACCUGGACCCUGUUUGGAAUUCUGGGUCUCCCCCUCUCUCUCUGCUCUGCUCACGUUGUCUCUCUCUCAAAAA